UUUUUUAUGGCGUUUUCCCAAAAAUUCCCGUUUUUGCGGCAUCUCCCCCCGGCAGAAGCGGCAGAUGGCCAGCGCCGACCGCGUCACGCUCUACGGGCUGAUGGUGAAGCCCAUCCAGAGGUUCCCUCAGUUCAUCCUCCUGCUGCAGGUGAGACGGGUGGGAGGUGCUGGAGGACAUCAGGGAGGUUCUGGAGAAGGUCAUGAGGAGCUUUUGGAGAAGGUUUUGGGAGGCUUUUGGAGAAGGUUUUUUGGAAGGUUCCAGAGGAGGUUUUUUGGAGGUUCUGGAGAAGGUUUUGGUGAGCUUUUGGAGAAGGUUUUUGAGAGGUUCUGGAGAAGGUUUUGGGCAAAGAUGCAAGAUUCUGGAGAAGGUUUUUUGGAAGGUUCUGGAGAAGGUUUUGGGCAAAGAUGCAAGAUUCUGGAGAAGGUUUUUUGGAGGUUCUGGAGAAGGUUUUGGGAGGCUUUUGGAGGAGGUUUUUGAGAGGUUCUGGAGAAGAUUUUGGAGAGGUUUUGGGCAAGGUUGCAGAGAUUCUAGAGAAGGUUUUUUGGAGGUUCUGGAGAAGGUUUUUUGGAGGUUCUGGAGAAGGUUUUGAAGAGGUUCUGGAGAAGCAGCUUUUUGGGUGAUGCAGGACAGGGCCAUUUUUAAAAAUUUUUUUUAAUAUUUUUUAUUUUUUAAAAUUUUUGGAUCCAUCCCCAGGAUCAUCUCCUAAGCUUUGAAUUUGGAGGUGCUCAAAGUGCUCCCAAUUCCCUCAGUUCAUCCUCCUCCUGCAGGUGAGAGAAGGGAGGUUCUGGAGGACUUUGGGGAGGUUCUGGAGAAGGUCUUGGGGAACUUUUGGAGAAGAUUUUG
rnacentral:lncRNA from 1 species